rnacentral:rRNA from 1 species
AGCGAACGCUGGCGGCAGGCUUAACACAUGCAAGUCGAACGCCCGUAGCAAUACGGGAGUGGCAGACGGGUGAGUAACACGUGGGAACGUGCCCUUCAGUUCGGAACAACCCAGGGAAACUUGGGCUAAUACCGGAUACGUCCGUAAGGAGAAAGAUUUAUCGCUGGAGGAUCGGCCCGCGUCUGAUUAGCUAGUUGGUGAGGUAACGGCUCACCAAGGCGACGAUCAGUAGCUGGUCNGAGAGGACGAUCAGCCACACUGGGACUGAGACACGGCCCAGACUCCUACGGGAGGCAGCAGUGGGGAAUCUUGGACAAUGGGCGCAAGCCUGAUCCAGCCAUGCCGCGUGAGUGAUAAGGCCUUAGGGUUGUAAAGCUCUUUCGGUGGGAAGAUAAUGACGGUACCCACAGAAGAAGCCCCGGCUAACUUCGUGCCAGCCGCCGCGGUAAG